rnacentral:rRNA from 1 species
CCCCACUGCCAUCGGGAUGGGACUAAGACAUGCUAGUCGUGCGUCUCCAAGCCAUGGCGGAGACGCGGCGCACAGCUCAGUAACACGUGGCUAACCUGCCCUUAGGACAGGGACAACCCCGGGAAACUGGGGCUAAUCCCUGAUAGGUGGGGGUUCCUGGAAUGGGCCCUCGCCGAAAGGGCGCCUAGACCAUGCUUCUAGGUGCUGCCCAAGGAUGGAGCCGCGGCCGAUCAGGUUGUUGGUGAGGCAACGGCUCACCAAGCCUUUAACCGGUACGGGCCGUGAGAGCGGGAGCCCGGAGAUGGAAUCUGAGACAACAUUCCAGGCCCUACGGGGCGCAGCAGUCGCGAAACCUCCACAAUGCACGAAAGUGCGAUGGGGCUAUCCCGAGUGCCGUCCGAUAUGGAGGGCUUUUCCCCGGUGUACAACGCCGGGGGUAAUAAAGGGGGGGCAAGACUGGUGUCAGCCGCCGCGGUAAAACCAGCCCCCUGAGUGGUGGGGACAAUUAUUGGGCUUAAAGCGUCCGUAGCCGGCCUGAUCCGUCCCGCGUGAAAUCCGACGACCUAAUCGUCGGGCGGCGUGGGACACUGUCGGGCUUGGAGGCGGGAGAGGUUGACGGUACUCCCGGGGUAGGGGUGAAAUCCAAUAAUCCCGGGAGGACCACCAGUGGCGAAGGCGGUCAACCAGCACGCGCUCGACGGUGAUGGACGAAAGCUGGGGUAGCGAACCGGAUUAGACACCCGGGUAGUCCCAGCCGUAAACGAUGCGGGCUAGCUGUUGGAGAUGCUACGAGCUGCUCCAGUGGCGCAGGGAAACCGUUAAGCCUGCCGCCUGGGAAGUACGAUCGCAAGGUUGAAACUUAAAGGAAUUGGCGGGGGAGCACCACAAGGGGUGAAGCCUGCGGUUC